rnacentral:rRNA from 1 species
AACGAACGCUGGCGGCGCGUUUUAAGCAUGCAAGUCGAACGGCAGCCACGGGGCAACCUGUGGCGAGAGUGGCGAACGGGUGAGUAACACGUAGGUAAUCUGCCCUUGGAAGCGGGAUAGUCCGUGGAAACACGGGGUAAUACCGCAUGAGGCCUCUGGGGUAAAGCCCGGGGGUGAAAGCUUCAAUUGGAGCGUCUGGGGAUGAGCCUGCGGCCCAUUAGGUAGUUGGCGGGGUAAAGGCCCACCAAGCCGACGAUGGGUAGCCGGCCUGAGAGGGUGUACGGCCACACUGGAACUGGGACACGGUCCAGACUCCUACGGGAGGCAG